GAGUUUGAUCGUGGCUCAGGACGAACGCUGGCGGCGUGCUUAACACAUGCAAGUCGAACGGUAAGGCUCCAGCUUGCUGGGGUACACGAGUGGCGAACGGGUGAGUAACACGUGGGUGACCUGCCCUGCACUUCGGGAUAAGCCUGGGAAACUGGGUCUAAUACCGGAUAGGACCGCACCGUGAGGGUGUGGUGGAAAGUUUUUUCGGUGUGGGAUGGGCCCGCGGCCUAUCAGCUUGUUGGUGGGGUAAUGGCCUACCAAGGCGGCGACGGGUAGCCGGCCUGAGAGGGUGGACGGCCACAUUGGGACUGAGACACGGCCCAGACUCCUACGGGAGGCAGCAGUGGGGAAUAUUGCACAAUGGGCGGAAGCCUGAUGCAGCGACGCCGCGUGGGGGAUGACGGCC
rnacentral:rRNA from 1 species